UGAAACGGAUAUCCUGAUGUAGCGACAUGAUUAAAGGUUAAGCURGAGCCAUAAAGGACGGAGGGAUGUGCCUUUUUAAUGAGGCUGUCUUUGUUGAGACCUAAUUCGGGUAAAAGAAAAUUCUCAACUGAAAUAGAGGCGUAUGAUACACCCCAGGCUCCCCAAGUGUCUCUGUGGGGGUCACUUCAGUGGAUCUUAAAGGCCAGGGACGGUAUCUUAUGACCUCCCUGAAGCCAGGCCACGUUCUCUCAAGCUGCACGCACUUUCCUUGAAUAGUAAGCCAAGUUAACCGUAAGAGCUUCACCUCUCGGCCUGAAAUUCAGCGGCAGAAAUGAAAAACCAAACCAUUGCCCCUUGUAGGAGGUAUUUCUUUUCUUUUGCGUUACCUCACAAUCGAUAGGAUAGAAAUGCACCACAAGAUGCAAAAGCAAAAUAGGUCAAACAUGGACUAAAACAAAAAAAUUCUGAAUGGUGAAAAAAGGGCCGUUUUCAUGUGCAGUCUCAUCUCAAGCUUACACAAACAAACAUGCAGUAAGUAAUAAACCGGUUUUCAUUGUUUUUUUUUGUAUUAAGAAUGUUUUCAUGAGGCUCUU